rnacentral:rRNA from 1 species
AGAGUUUGAUCCUGGCUCAGAAUCAACGCUGGCGGCGCGCUUAACACAUGCAAGUCGCACGAGAAAGCAGGAGCAAUCUUGUGAGUAAAGUGGCGUACGGGUGAGUAACACGUGGAUCAUCUACCUUCUGGUGGGGAAUACCUCCGGGAAACUGGAGACAAUACCGCAUAAGCUCGAAAGAGGAAAGCAGCAAUGCGCCGGAAGAGGAGUCCGCGGCCGAUUAGCUAGUUGGCGGGGUAACGGCCCACCAAGGCGAAGAUCGGUAGCCGGCCUGAGAGGGCUCACGGCCACACUGGCACUGAAACACGGGCCAGACUCCUACGGGAGGCAGCAGUGGGGAAUCUUGCACAAUGGAGGAAACUCUGAUGCAGCGACGCCGCGUGAGCGAUGAAGCCCCUCGGGGUGUAAAGCUCUUUCGACGGGAAAGAUAAUGACGGUACCCGAAGAAGAAAG